rnacentral:lncRNA from 1 species
ACGGGUUGAGCUCUUUCCUGCUGCCUUGAGCCUGAGGCAGGCUAUUCUUCCUGUGCGGCUCCACAGCUUCAGGCCAGCCCCCUCCCCGCUCAAAUCCCUGAGGCAGAGCUCCUCUGAAGAAGACUUCCGAUAUUAGGUUGCCUGGGCCCAGCUUGAAUCAGGCACCCCCAGCCGAGUCGCCCUCCAGGGGAUGGAAUACGGGACUCCCAGCCCCGGAAAACGGAGUCCGCCUGAGCCACGGGACUCGGAUGGAAGGCAAGUGAAGCCUGAUACCUCAGUGCAGAUACGUGGCUGGCUUUGUUGCAGGAUUUUCCUUAGUUUAGCUAAAGACGGGAUCUUGUCCAUCCCAUGGCCAUGAAAAUUUAGGCUCACAGACGCUUUAAAGGGUUCCACACAGGAAGAGGCGGUUCCCAGGUUCCACACAGGAAGAGGCGGUUCCCAGGUUCCACACAGGAAGAGGCGGUUCCCAGGUUCCACACAGGAAGAGGCGGUUCCCAGGUUCCACACAGGAAGAGACGCCCAGGUUCCACACAGGAAGAGGCGGUUCCCAGGUUCCACACAGGAAGAGGCGGUUCCCAGGUUCCACACAGGAAGAGGCGGUUCCCAGGUUCCACACAGGAAGAGACGCCCAGGUUCCACACAGGAAGAGGCGGUUCCCAGGUUCCACACAGGAAGAGGCGGUUCCCAGGUUCCACACAGGAAGAGGCGGGGCGAGGCUCCUCCCUGCUGCAAAGGUACAGGACCACACAACGAGGACAAAAUAAGACGUUUAAAUAUUCGAAAGAGCUGUCUCUACUAUAAUGUAGAUGAUACAUUUAUAAACCUGGAAAACUCACAAGAAUGGACUGUGAAGGUAUUAAAAAUAAUAAGAUAAUCUACUUGGGAGGCUGAGGCAGGAGAAUCACUUGAACCAGGGAGUCGGAGGUUGCAGUGAGCCAAGAUUGUGCCACUGGACUCCAUCCUGGUAACAGAGCAAAAAUAAACAAAUAUAAUAUAAUAUAAUAAUAAAAUUAUACUAAAUGAUGUGAAAGUUUUGGUUAAAUAAUAUAUUUUGUUUUUUAAUACAAUGUCAACACGAAUUUUAAAAAUAUUAUACCAGUUUUAGUACUGUUCUCCCAAAAUUCAGGUCCUUCCUGUAACUUCAGAGUGUGGCUUUAUUAGGAAACAGGGUCAUUGCACAUGUAAUUUAAGAUGUGGUCUUAGUACAGCAGGAUGUGUCCUUAAUCUGACACAACUGGUGUCCUCAUAAGACAAGGACAAGAAACAGAGAAACACCAGGGAAGAUGCUGUGUGAAGGUGGAGACACAGAUUGGAGUGAUGUGUCUGCAGGUCAGAAAACACCAAGGGUUGCCGGCAAAAUCAGAAGCCAAGAGAAAGGCAUGGACCAGAUUCACCCCUAGGACCUUCAGAAAGACCAUGGGCUUCCAGUACCUUCACGUUGGACUCCAGCCUCCAGAACUGUGAGAAAAUACAUUCUUACUGUCUUCAGACGCGCAGUUUGCGGUCAUUUGUUACGGCAGUCUUAGCACACUAAUAAGGAUCUCAGUUCUUCCCAUGUUGGCUACAAGGUUAAUUCGAUCCUGAUCAAAGUCCUAAAAAGGUUUGUUUGGGUUUGAGGUUUUGUGCUUUGACUUGUUGUUCAGUUGGUUGGUUGGUUUUUUGUUUGGUUUAAGAUAGUGUUUUCUAUUUUUUUCCUCUUGUUUUUGCUUUUUUGGAAGGGUAAGAGACUUAAAUGUCAACGUAUCAGAAUGAAAACAGAGUUAGAUCCAGGAAAUUUCUGAAAAAGAGAAGUAACAGAGCAGGACCAGCACUCCCUUCCAGGGAGUGGCCCCGCUGCUGAGAGGGAGGGCCCGGGACAGAAGACGGAGUUCCAAAAUAGGCUAAGUAUAAACGGGGAUUUAGUACACAACGGGGGAGGAAUGUCAAAUCAGUGGGCAAA